AGCAGCCGCGGUAAUUCCAGCUCCAAUAGCGUAUAUUAAAGUUGUUGCAGUUAAAAAGCUCGUAGUUGAAUUUCGGGGUCAGUAGGUCGGUCGUGCCACUGGUAUGAACUGGUUUUACUGAUUCCUCCCUCUUGAAGAACUGUAAUGCCAUUAAUUUGGUGUUGCAGGGAAUCAGGACUGUUACUUUAGAAAAAAUUAGAGUGUUUAAAGCAGGCUUUAGCUUGAAUACAUUAGCAUGGAAUAAUGAAAUAGGACGUUUGAUCCUAUUUUGUUGGUUUCUAGGAUUGACGUAAUGAUUAAUAGGGAUAGUUGGGGGCAUUAGUAUUCAAUUGUCAGAGGUGAAAUUCUUGGAUUUAUUGAAGACUAACUACUGCGAAAGCAUUUGCCAAGGAUGUUUUCAUUAAUCAAGAACGAAAGUUAGGGGAUCGAAGACGAUCAGAUACCGUCGUAGUCUUAACCAUAAACUAUGCCGACUAGGGAUCGGAUGAUGUUAAUUUUUAAUGACUCAUUCGGCGUCCUU
rnacentral:rRNA from 1 species